GAGAGGUCCAGGGCUCGCUGCUGGGAGCCAAGCCUGUUCUCCGCUCGGCAGGUGUAGCGCCCUGAAUCCCCAGCCUUCACCCCGGGCAGCUCCAGCCCCAGGGGUCUAGGGCCCCAGGGAUGGGACGAGGAGAGGACUCUGUUCUGCAGGACCCAGCUCAGUGUGGCAGGGGGCUGGCUGUCAGCAGCACAGAGGAGCCGCAGGAACUGGCCUUUUUGGGCUUCCAGGGCUGCGGCGGCAUCCUGGGACCCCACAGCUUCCUCUCCCUGGAUGCUCCUGAGCUGGGAGCCGCUCACUGUCCCACUGGGCUCCUCCACCUCCCCACCCACCGGGGCUGUCUGCACACCCCACCCUCCCAGGCCACACUCACAGGCCACACGGAGUCGGACGGUCCUCUGUGCGCUCACACCCUUUCUGGAGAAGUCCACAUGGCAGCUUCCUCUCUCCACCCGAAAGAAGUACUGUGACUCAUCCUGCAUCUGCGCGUCUCUGAUCACCAAGGAGCAGUUCCCCUUGGCGGGAUCCCCAGUGAGCUGGAAUCGGCCCCGGGUGCUCAUUUCCACCUCUCGACUCUGGUGGUUUGUGGCCACAGGAGCACCCUUGGUUGUCUCAGUCACUGCUUUGAACCAGUAGCCAUAAGCUGGGGUAGACCCUGUCCAGUCCUGUCGGGGGUAGGAGAAAGAGCAGGGCACAGAGAUGCACAGGCCCUCCGGCACCAUCACUGACUCC
ensembl:lncRNA SIGLEC10-AS1 SIGLEC10 antisense RNA 1